GCAAGAUAAUUUUAAGUACACUCAAGAAAUAAAGAAAACUUUCAAAAUACACAGUAUUCUAUAAAAACCUAAUACUACAUUUACACCGCAAGGGCCAACUACCAUAGCUUCUUAAAGAAAUGAUAAUCUCACAUCCCUUUUGCAUCAUGGAGAAGCAACAAAAACAUAGCAAGUUAAUCUCCCGAAUGACUAUGAGCUACUAACCCUUAAAAAUCAAUGUUUCACAAUUGAUAAAGUAACUUUUAGUAGCAGCAACAAGCCUUUCAUAUAGCCAUAUAGCUGGUUUUUCUUUAAAAGCAUCACAGUGCUGCCUUAUAGUAUAAGUGCACCAUCACAACACUAUAAGAUUUAGCUUAUUGAGGAUUAGCUCAGUAAGCACAUAAAAAUACCUUACUAUUCAACCCUUAAAGUAGGCUUAAAAGCAGCCACCACAUAACGUUUUAGUUACAAUACUUACAUUAACCAAUAUUUAUAUACACCAUUUUAACCUUAAAGAAAUUUAACACGAAACCUUCUCUGUUAAUAAACAGGCAUUCUAUUAGUAUUAAUAAAUUACCCAUCUUUCACAACCUUUAAAAAACCUGAAACAUAACACUCUAUUUUUGAACUUAUACAAAGCGAACUCGGCAAAUAAUUAUUCCCUGCCUGUUUACCAAAAACAUCGUCUUUUGACCACAUUUGAUAAAAGAUAAUGCCUGCCCAGUGAAAAUUUUAAACGGCCGCGUUAGCGUGAGCGUGCUAAGGUAGCGUAAUAAUUAGCCUUUUAAUUGAAGGCCAGUGAAUGGCAAGACUAGGAAUAGCUGUACUUUGUAUACAAAAAAAACUUUUCAUCUAAGUGAAAAGACUUAGAUAACGAAGGAAGACGAAAAGACCCCGCGGAACUUUACCUUUUCUUAUACUUCUGUCUACAAACUUAAAAGUCUAUAAGGUUUGAUUGGGGCAAUCUUGGAACCAUCAAAGCUUCCAACUUUUUUACAAUAACAUUUAAAAUUCACUAAGGACUAAAAAGUAGUUACCCCGGGGAUAACAGCGUAAUCCAACUCAAGAGUACACAUCGAAAGUUGGGUUUGCGACCUCGAUGUUGGCUUAAGGAUAUCCACAUAAGUGCAACCGCUAUGACAGGACAGUCUGUUCGACUAUCAUACCCUUACACGAGCUGAGUUAAGACCGGCGCAAGCUAGGUUGGUUUCUAUCUCCUUUAUUAACAAACCUUUCUUGAUUGUACGAAAGGACCCCAAGAAAUGCAUUUAACAAAAGCAAUUUAUUAAAUCUGUACACUAAUUUUUCCAUAACACAG
rnacentral:rRNA from 1 species